rnacentral:tRNA from 1 species
UUGUGUGUGGCUCAGCGGUAGAGUGCCUGCCUAGCAUGUGUUAGGCGCUGGGUUCGAUUCUCAGCACCACAUAAA